AAUGAACGCUGGCGGCGCGCCUAAUACAUGCAAGUCGAGCGAGAAGACGUAGCAAGUACGUUUGUAAAGCGGCGAACGGGUGAGGAAUACAUGGGUAACCUACCCUCGAGUGGGGAAUAACUAGCCGAAAGGUUAGCUAAUACCGCGUACGCUUCUUGGACUUCGGUUCAGGGAGGAAAGCGAUACCGUGGGUAUCGCGCUCUUGGAUGGGCUCAUGUCCUAUCAGCUUGUUGGUGAGGUAACGGCUCACCAAGGCUUCGACGGGUAGCUGGUCUGAGAGGACGAUCAGCCACACUGGCACUGCGACACGGG
rnacentral:rRNA from 1 species